rnacentral:tRNA from 1 species
GCCCGUGUGGCUCAAUGGACAGAGCUCGGCCUGCAGACCAGAGGGUCCCGGGUUCGAUUCCAGUCAAGGGCA